ensembl:ncRNA lncRNA:CR45533 long non-coding RNA:CR45533
CCAGACCACCGAAACAACUCUUGAACUCUGGCCGGGAUCUUUGUUUUGUCAACUAUUGAAUAAAUUAUAAUUACGGCACUGCUAGAAUGACAAUGGCUGAUAGAAAAAGGAAGUUUUUAAAUAAUUUAAAUUUAAGCAAUAAUACAGCAUGUAUUUUAACAACUUACUUCUCGAAAAUCUUUAAAAAUGUGCUCAGAAAAGUUUUCUUUGUGAUAACAAACCUCUAAGAUCACCCAUAAUAUCUCCUUUCACAUUCGCCCAAAAUUGCCCGACUCCAAGUUCAUUAGAAACCCGUCAGCGGGAGAUUGGCACACAUAUGGACACAGUGGACAAUGGCCAAAUUGCACUCCUUUUGUGUUCAGCAAUGGAUGGGAUGGACUAGGGAUUCAAGUGCUGGUCGAGAAGGGAUAGUAGAAGUUGGAUGGCGAAAGUGGUCGAAAAGUACGCGGGCACCAAAUGAUGGCAACAUCAUUUGUCAAAACAAACUUUUUGACAUGGCCGCGCAUCGCAGCGAAAGUGCGUGGCCUUCCGCCCACCGACCGACGCCCAACUUCCAGCGCUUUCACCCAUUCUCACCCACUUUCACCCACUUGUGUGCGUGUGACAAACCCAAAUAGCCACUCGAUUGUUCCCGACUGACCGGACCGAUGUUUAUCAUUAUUAUUGCCACUCGUGGACCAAAAUCACAGGCUCAUCCUCUCUUGACUCUAUCACUGUUAGAUAGCAAUGCAUAUCUCUUGGUAUCUCGUUUAAGGUUUAUUUCAAACAGAUAUUAGUCCAGAUUAUUAUAAUUUUCUUUUGCACUUGCCUGCUGUGAAACCCUAAAAGUGAGCUUUCAAAUUUGGCUCGACGGCCAAAUAGUUCAUAGUUCUGCUUCUCACUAAAUUAAUGAAAAACAGCUAAGAUUAGCUUCAGUUUUUUUGUUUUUGUAAAUUCCCAAAAAUUUGUUUAGUUACUUACUUAUUUUAUUUUAUAAAAAAUUUAAAUCAGAUUUUGCAGUGCCUGCAUAAAGGGGUUCAAAGGGGGUUGGCUGUCCACUUGUACAAAUUAUUGUGAAAUACACAAGAAGCGUAGCGGAAGGAGAAAUAUAAGAGAAGCCAUAGCAUACUUUACCAAAAAAUGAAGUCAUCGAGCAGGAGAUGUUUUUGCCACAAAGAGUGUGAAGAGCAGGGGAGAAGAGGAUGUGCGUCCUGAAUGUGUAUGUGUGUUAGUGAGUGUAUGCUGCAUGGAACCCUUAAUUAAAUAAAUUCAAUAUGCGCAACGGGCAGUCAAAAGCCACCCAAAAAAGAGUCCCUGCUCGGGCGCCACCCCACCCCAAACGCUCCAUCCGACAGGCAAACUGAAAACCCAAAUAUCGUCCGGGGCCAACUACAAAAUUAUAUGGCGAAAAUGUUCGUUGGAAAUCGUCAUGGAUUUUAAUAUUUAAAAGCGUUUUCAAAAAUUGUCCCCUUUCGUGACGAACCGGGUUAGAGAAUGGUAUGGAAGGAGGAUGACUGAGAAAAGGGUUGGAUAUGUAGGUGGCAACCGGUCUGGACAUUUGCUGACCAACAGGGUCCCAGUUCAGAGGGCAAACGCAUCGACUUUCUCUGACUCCCCUGCUCACCAUCGUGCUAAUAUCGCCGUCCUGCUUGGUUGUGUCCCAAAAGUCGACCCAGACCUAAAAAAAGGAACCCAAACCCGUUCGACAGGCAGCGGCAACAUUUUGAUAAGCGCCGCAUGGACAGUCGCCUGGGCAUCCCCAAACCACUGCCCCAACCACCCGAAAACCACCCACUGACCAACCAACCAACCAACCAACCAGGCAAGGAAAUAAAAAAGUAACAGCCUCACCCAGGACACUCACUCACACUUACACAGCACACACUCUCUCGUUCGUCGCCAAAAAGGAUAUUAUUUAAUGAGCUACACUUAAAGCAUUGGACAUGGAGGGCUUCAGAACUUAUCGUGGGUGUGGGGACUUAAAAGGACGCUGACCAAAUCGAGUUGACCUGUUCGAGAAUGAGUGUGCACUGAAAAUUUAUAUUGAAUUAAUCAAUUAAACAAUUAAUAUAUCUAAAAUACUUAUAUCCUUAUAUUCCAUCAAAUGUUAAAACUAAUAUCAACAGAAGCUGAACAGAAAUCGUAUUAAAGUGUAAGUGUAUGGCAUUUGAAAAACCAAAAGCAAAGGUAAACAACCUAUGUACUUUCUUUUUGUUUGGAUAAAAUUUUAGUUUUUUUUUUCGCAGUGAAACUUUAUGGUUGAAUAUUUGGUAGUUUGGUGCAUAGUUUUCGAGACUCAGCCGCUUGGCUUGCAUAUUGAAUUGGAGGCUUUGGUCCUGUUUUGGAGUCCAACUCCGUGCGAUUGUCCUGCCAGUGAGCUUUGGGGUCAGGCGUGUGCGUGAUUAAAAAUUCAAUACCGAAACGAAUGUGGAAUUGAACGGUAAAUUAAAUGAGCCAAAAAGGAAGGGGAUAAUUGUGGCAGAGAGUAUAUUCCAAAAAGGAUAGUACAUUUGGAACAAAUUGAAUUCUUAUAGAAACGGGAGCCAGUUAAAACAUAUGAUUAAUUAAUAAUUAAUUAAUUAAUAAUUUACAUUUAAUGUAGAACAUAUUAACUAAAUUUUUAAAUGAAAUCAUACUAAAAUCCUAAAUGUUUCAAGAGUUUGCACCUAUUCAGAGUCUUGAAAGGGAAAAUACUAAUAAAAUCCCGCUACUAGAGUCCUCGAGCAUCUUGAGCCGGCUAAAAGCCCCAACUCCAGUCCAUCCAAGGAGCAGAAGGUGCUGUGGUACGUGGCCCAUAAGGGCUGAGACAGGUUCUUAUCGUUAUGCCCACCUUGGCUGUGCCAUCAUUCUGCUCCGGCGUGGAAUGUUUACAUAAAUUCAUAAAAUUAUUGCUAUAAUCAACAUUAUGCAUUUGGAAACAAACAAAAAACCAGAAACCGCAAAAGAGUUUUCCACCCACAAGGGUUGGAAAGUGUACCGUGUACUGUACUGUUUUGGAUGUAUGCAGCCUCGUAAUUAUGCUCGCUUGAUUUGCCAGCAACAUUUUCUUUUUAAUUAUUUAUAUUUGGGGAUUUUUAGGCAGUCGGCAGUCAGGCAAAACGAUUCAAAGGCCUUCCAAGUUUUCCACUCGCCUCGUAUGUUAGGGAUGGUAUUUGCAUACAUCUGACUGCCUGGCCUGACUGACUGACUGACUGACUGACAAUAUCUUUUUAUGCUUUGGCAGGCAGCAACCCCUCCGAAGCACCCCGCACCAUCUCCAUUGGUUCGCUUUUUUGGGCAUGUGUUUUAUUAGGCAUGUUAAUUAAAAGACAUGAAAUGAAAAUAAUUAAAAAUAUGUAUAAAAACACAUACACACACACACACUCAUUCAUACGCAUCUGCAUAUGUGUGCUUUAUAUACAGCAAACACUUAGAUGCAUAAACGCUUUUAUAGAGAAUAUAUAGUAUCUAUGGGCACAUAAGAUAUGGCUGUCGAACAGGUUUCAUUACUCUUCGGCUCAGAUUGCCAUUGAAAAUGUGGUUACUGAAUUCAAAAGGGUAUAUGGGGCUGUCUAUAUAUGAUAAGAUAAAUCAAAAAUUAAACAACACUUUAUAAAACUAUAAAUUGUAUGAGCAUUGGUAUUACUAUAAAUUUAGUUACAGAGAAACUUUAUUAAGUCAAUGUUUUGAAAUAAAGGGGUGUGCACUUUUUAAAAAUAAACCGGUUUCUGUUUUAUAUUUAUGCAUCCCUAAUAUAAUUUUGCUACAUAUAGCAGGGUAUCCUUCACUUUUAUAAUUUCAUAUGUGGCCAUGUGUAAAUUACCUUGAGGAAAAUAAUGAGGAAACAUGGACCCCUAAAUAAAUUAUCAACAGAAAAAAGUGUUUGAUUUGCAAAAGGGUUACAGCGAUAGGAAGGGGAGAAGAAGCUCAUCCUUGGAGGCCUAUCAAUUUUCUUGCCCACUUUUCCACCAGAUCGCCUUAUUAACUCAUUGCUGUGGUGUCAAUUUACACGACAACGGCACAAAACGAACGCAAGACAAAGGCUAAAAUAUGGCAACAUUACUUUCCACCAACCAACCAACCAACCAUCUAACCAAUCCCCCAACCAAACCACACUUCGCUCCUUUGUCUCAAAUUUCGAGGCUAUGGAAAAAUGGCCCCCCAAUCCAACAAUUCCCAAUUGCCGGCGUCUUAAGUGUUGCUAAUAACGCCUACAACUAAAAACAGAAAACAGCUGCAGGGUCAAAAGGGUGGCGAGAGGUGGGUUCCAAAAACUGGGCAAAAGUGGGUGCCAUGGUUGAGCGACACUUUUAAGAAAUUGCAAAGUUUUCGUAACAAAGGCAACUUGAACAAUACUUUGAUGCGAUUUUGCGGAUAUUAGGUGUUAAUUUUUCAAAGAGCCAACGACAUUGUACGCCAUCAGAAACUCACACCCUUAGAACCGUUUUUAGAACCCCCAUUCUCAUCCACAUCCCCCAUCCCCCAUCCCCCAUCCUCGUUCCCAUUUUAUUAGCCCCCACUUAUUUUUCGGUGGCCUGGUUGCCAUUGCCAUGGCACUCUGCCUUUUGUAAUUUUAACUGCUUUUGGUUAACACUUUUACGCAUUGCCAACUGUGGUGGCACCACCUACCUCCCACUCCGCAUCGAUAUCACAUGGCAGCACCACCAUCUUAAACCCUUUGUCUUCCUGCCAGCAAGUCAUCGAUGGGAAAACUUUGGGCAACUUUUUCUCAGCUCACUUUUUUGUGUAUUUUAAUUGCCCCCAAUGGGGGGAUU